AUUGAACGCUGGCGGCAGGCCUAACACAUGCAAGUCGAACGAGUGGCGGACGGGUGAAUAAUGUCUGGGACACUGCCUGAUGGCGGGGGAUAACUACUGGAAACGGUAGCUAAUCCCGCAUACCAUCAGAUGUUCCCAGAUUGCAUUCUCUUUUUGGUGGGGUAACGGCUCACCAAGGCGACGAUCCCUAGCUGGUCUGAGAGGAUGACCGGCCACACUGGAACUGAGACACGGUCCAGACUCCUACGGGAGGCAGCAGUGGGGAAUAUUGCACAAUGGGCGAAAGCCUGAUGCAGCCAUGCCGCGUGUAUGAAGAAGGCCUUCGGAUCGUAAAGUACUGUCAGCGGGGAGGCGUUACCCGCAGAAGAAGCACCGGCUAACUCCGUGCCAGCAGCCGCGGUAAUUC
rnacentral:rRNA from 1 species